UACGGAGGGAGCUAGCGUUGUUCGGAAUUACUGGGCGUAAAGCGCGCGUAGGCGGCUUUGUAAGUUAGAGGUGAAAGCCUGGGGCUCAACCCCAGAAUUGCCUUUAAGACUGCAUCGCUUGAAUCCGGGAGAGGUGAGUGGAAUUCCGAGUGUAGAGGUGAAAUUCGUAGAUAUUCGGAAGAACACCAGUGGCGAAGGCGGCUCACUGGACCGGUAUUGACGCUGAGGUGCGAAAGCGUGGGGAGCAAACAGG
rnacentral:rRNA from 1 species